rnacentral:rRNA from 1 species
CGAGCGGAGUAGAGUUCACACUGAGUAUUCGAGCGUUGGCAAAAGUUAAGCCAGCGUCAUGCACAAACUACCUUGUUGAUAGACAUAUUUAAAAGAAAGUUUUGUGCAUCACGCUAAAUUAAGUGCCUGACACAAUGCUAUGACUAAAACAAGUCAAAAUAGUAUUGAUAAGAAACGCCACACUUGAGUGCUGAGUGUUGGACUCUACUUAGCGGCGGACGGGUGAGUAACGCGUGGGCAACCUGCCUUGCACAGGGGGAUAACACAGGGAAACUUGUGCUAAUACCGCAUAACAUCACGGGGAGGCAUCUUCCUGUGAUCAAAGGAGAAAUCCGGUGCAAGAUGGGCCCGCGUCCGAUUAGCUAGUUGGCGGUGUAACGGACCACCAAGGCGACGAUCGGUAGCCGAACUGAGAGGUUGAUCGGCCACAUUGGGACUGAGACACGGCCCAGACUCCUACAGGAGGCAGCAGUGGGGAAUAUUGCGCAAUGGAGGAAACUCUGACGCAGCAACGCCGCGUGAAGGAUGAAGGUCUUCGGAUUGUAAACUUCUUUGAUGAGGGACGAAGGAAGUGACGGUACCUCAAAAACAAGCCACGGCUAACUACGUGCCAGCAACCGCGGUAAUACGUAGGUGGCGAGCGUUGUCCGGAAUUACUGGGGUGUAAAGGGCGCGUAGGCGGGGAUGUAAGUCAGAUGUGAAAUACCAUGGCUCAACCGUGGGGCUGCAUCUGAAACUAUGUUUCUUGAGUGCUGGAGAGGAAAGCGGAAUUCCUAGUGUAGCGGUGAAAUGCGUAGAUAUUAGGAGGAACACCAGUGGCGAAGGCGGCUUUCUGGACAGUAACUGACGCUGAGGCGCGAAAGCGUGGGGAGCGAACAGGAUUAGAUACCCUGGUAGUCCACGCCGUAAACGAUGGAUACUAGGUGUAGGAGGUAUCGACCCCUUCUGUGCCGGAGUAAACACAAUAAGUAUCCCACCUGGGGAGUACGGCCGCAAGGUUGAAACUCAAAGGAAUUGACGGGGGCCCGCACAAGCAGUGGAGUAUGUGGUUUAAUUCGAAGCAACGCGAAGAACCUUACCAGGGCUUGACAUACAGAGGGAUAUGUCAGAGAUGGCAUAGCUCUUCGGAGCCUCUGUACAGGUGGUGCAUGGUUGUCGUCAGCUCGUGUCGUGAGAUGUUGGGUUAAGUCCCGCAACGAGCGCAACCCUUGUUGUUAGUUGGUAACACGUAAAGGUGACCACUCUAACGAGACUGCCGGUGACAAAUCGGAGGAAGGUGGGGACGACGUCAAAUCAUCAUGCCCCUUAUGUCCUGGGCUACACACGUACUACAAUGGCUACAACAAAGGGAAGCGAAGCCGUAAGGCGGAGCAAAUCCCCAAAAGUAGUCCCAGUUCGGAUUGUGGGCUGCAACCCGCCCACAUGAAGUCGGAAUUGCUAGUAAUGGCAGGUCAGCAUACUGCCGUGAAUACGUUCCCGGGCCUUGUACACACCGCCCGUCACACCAUGAGAGUCAGCAACACCCGAAGUCAGUAGCUUAACCGCAAGG